rnacentral:lncRNA from 10 species
AUAAUAUAUAGCUAUAAGAUUUUCCUGCUUUAAACUUAAUCUACCAUUUUUAUUACUGUGUCAGUUAUAGACCUGAAUAUAUAAAUAUGCUUAUUUUAGUUUAAAAUAACAAUUAUUUGGUUGCAUUCAUGCUAGAAGAAUAUUGAAAAAAUGUGGAGACAAUUGCCAGAUGUUUACUGCUAAUUGCAAUUUUUGUUAAAGCAAUGUUAUUUUAUUUAAUGUCUUAGGAAGUCCUAAGCAAUGCUCACCGCUGAAUGAUGCGUUGCAAUAUCUACAAGUUCCCCCCCACGCGCCACCCCUUCUAACUCUUCUCAGCAGGCUGGAAUGGGACUAUAACUGAUAUAUCAUGACCACACCAACUGAGGGUGUGGAGUAGGUCACCCAUUGGGGAUGGAAAAGGGAGGCUUCGGCCAUGCCUGUGGAGAAGAAACCAAGUCAGUAAUCUGCAAGAAGGCCCAUCUGGUCACAUGAAGGUCAAUCUCAUGGUCCCACAAUAAAAGCCAACUUCAGAAGCCAUUUAUGCCAAGAGAGACUGUAAGGUACCUGCACCAGCUGGAGGAGCAGAUGAAAGCGAAGAAGUGCUGCGCUACCACAAUUAUGCGAAUGUGCACCCAACCAUGAGCAAUACUUUCAUUCUGUUCUUGAGGCUCCCAGCUUCUGACACAAAUGAGCUAGGGAAAUUUAAAAAUGGGAACAGAUGAAGUAAGAGGGAAAGAUUUUUGAGAAUUGAAAUAAGAUCUGAAAGGAAGUUGUAAGCAUUGAUUGAAAUAUUAAUACAUUAAUUGCAUUAGACCAUCAGCUCAAUGUAUGUUUUGAUCCAUAAAUGGCCAUGACUAUAAGUGGCAAGAUUAAGUAGUCACUGUCAAUAGGAUUAAAAUCCCAUAGGGAAGUUUAAUUUUGCUAAAUAAAAAAGAAACCCCUCUCUUUCUUUGUCUUUAACUUACCUGAUUUGAUACUGUUCCAUUUUAUCUAUCUCUAUUUAAUAAGCAAAGCACAUUGAACUGUACCUGGAACUUUGUAAGUGCUCCAUAAAUUAUAGUUUUUAUAAAUAGAAGUCCUAUUUUAUAAUAUGGUGCCUAGAUCACACGUGGAAAAUUAUAGUCAGUUUAAGAUGAAAAUUGAUAAACUAGGGUAUAUCACCCCAAAAAACUGUCCAAGAUAAUGAGUAUCAUUCUUGCCCUAAGAAUAGAGACAGUAACACUACCCAAAUGGCUCAACAAUACAACUACUGUGUAUAAAGUAAAUGUGGGGGAAAGGAGCAAUGCUGUGGCUGCUGGGAGAGAAGGACAAUCCAUGGUUUAUAGUAAAUGAGGAAUGAACAAAGCCAGACAUCUAAGCAUUCAACUUUGUUAUGGGAAAGCCAGAAGGAGUGGAUUUCCCACUGUAGCUUAAGAAAGGUGAUUAUUUUAGAAUAUUGCAUAAAUGUAUAAAGGAAAAGAAAUGUAGUAGAAUCAACUCCAUGCAAAAUUAGGGGCUAGUUAUGACAAUGGGUUUUAGAGUGGCAUGAUAUACAGUGUGGCACUAUGCAGGUAUGGGUUGAAAAUUAA